CACGUAGGAGGCGAGCGUUGUCCGGAAUCAUUGGGUGUAAAGAGCGCGCAGGCGGCUUGGCAAGUCGGGUGUGAAAUCCCGGGGCUCAACCCCGGGACUGCAUUCGAUACUGUCAGGCUAGAGGUAGGUAGGGGAGAUCGGAAUUCCUGGUGUAGCGGUGAAAUGCGCAGAUAUCAGGAAGAACACCAAUGGCGAAAGCAGCUUUCUGGGACGGUACUGACGCUGAGACGCGAAAGCGUGGGGAGCGAACAGG
rnacentral:rRNA from 1 species